GGGGAGAUUCCAGAGCGGUCAAAUGGGAUGGACUGUAAAUCCAUUGCUUCGGCUUCGAAGGUUCGAAUCCUUCUCUCCCCA
rnacentral:tRNA from 1 species